rnacentral:rRNA from 1 species
UGCGUAGGCGGUCUCUUAAGUCAGAUGUGAAAGCCCGGGGCUUAACCUCGGAAGUGCAUUUGAAACUAAGGGACUUGAGUAUGGGAGAGGGAAGUGGAAUUCCUGGUGUAGCGGUGAAAUGCGUAGAUAUCAGGAGGAACACCGGUGGCGAAGGCGACUUCCUGGACCAAUACUGACGCUGAGGCGCGAAGGCGUGGGGAGCAAACAGGAUUAGAUACCCUGGUAGUCC